CCCUUAGAUGUUCUGGGCCGCACGCGCGCUACACUGAUGCAUUCAACGAGUCUAAAACCUGCUCUGAUAGGGGUGGGUAAUCUUUUGAAUGUGCAUCGUGAUUGGGAUAGAUGAUUGCAAUUUUUCAUCUUCAACGAGGAAUGCCUAGUAAACGCAUGUCAUCAGCUUGCAUUGAUUACGUCCCUGCCCUUUGUACACACCGCCCGUCGCUCCUACCGAUUGAAUGAUCCGAUGAAUAUCAUGGAUUGAGGAUGCAAGUAGGUUCGCCUAUCUUCAUCUUCGAGAAGUGAAGUAAAUCUUAUCAUUUAGAGGAAGGAGAAGUCGUAACA
rnacentral:rRNA from 1 species